rnacentral:rRNA from 2 species
GACGAACCGUACAAACGUUAUUCGGAAUCACUGGGCUUAAAGGGUGCGUAGGCGGCGCUGAAAGUAGGGUGUGAAAUCCCUCGGCUCAACCGAGGAACUGCGCUCUAAACUACAGUGCUCGAGGGAGACAGAGGUGAGCGGAACUUAGGGUGGAGCGGUGAAAUGCGUUGAUAUCCUAAGGAACACCCGUGGCGAAAGCGGCUCACUGGGUCUCUUCUGACGCUGAGGCACGAAAGCCAGGGUAGCGAACGGG